UACGUAGGGUGCAAGCGUUAAUCGGAAUUACUGGGCGUAAAGCGUGCGCAGGCGGUUUUGCAAGCCGGAUGUGAAAUCCCCGGGCUCAACCUGGGAAUGGCAUUCGGGACUGCAAGGCUGGAGUGCGGCAGAGGAGACUGGAAUUCCUGGUGUAGCAGUGAAAUGCGUAGAUAUCAGGAGGAAUACCGAUGGCGAAGGCAGGUCUCUGGGCUGACACUGACGCUCAUGCACGAAAGCGUGGGGAGCAAACAGG
rnacentral:rRNA from 1 species